GCCGCCGCCGCGCGAGGAGCCAGGAUGGUCCUGGUCCACGUCGGCUAUUUCGUGCUUCCAGUGUUUGGCUCUGUGCGAAACAGAGCUCAGUGAAUGGUCAACUCGCUGCUGUGUGCGCUGUGACCCUUCUGCCUCCGCAUUUAGCUGUAUUGUGACACCCCUCUUAACCAUCUCCUGUCUCCAUCUGAGGAAGGCAUUGCUAUUUAAGCGGCAGUAUCCCCUAUCUCAGGCCAGCCUAGCAGCGGGGGGCGGUGGUGGAGUGGGUGUGUGAAGAAUAGGAAUGGGGGGGUGCUGGGUGAGAUCUCCCUUGAAAUGCCAACCCCUCCCCCAAUACACAAUUAUAUCUUAUUACUUGGCAUUUCCUCUUAAAACGGGUGUGGAACAUUACACUAGGCAGAAAUUCAAAAAUGAUUAAGAAGGAUGUUGAGCCUGAAAGUAUAAUUAUCCUGAUUAAAUCAUUAUCAUCCUCAUUAAUACCACCAAUCUCUAAAUACCAUUGCAGGAUGCUGAUUCCAUGUUUUGAAAUUCAAAUUGCUCAGCUGCCUUUAAAUUUUAUUUUUGAUACACCCCCCCCUCAAAAAAAAAAAAACCAAAAACACCCAAGAAAACAAAUUCUGCCAGUCAGUCAAAGUUUACUUUCAUGGCAAACACGCCCAUAGGAAAUUCAAGGGCUGAGGGUUAAUUGGGCUGUGAGUAAAAUUUAGCACAAUGUGAUAAGAAUUCAUGACCUUCCGAUAGAGGAUACUAAUGCUUAACUCAACAAGGUCCUAAACCACAAUCUUCUUGUAAAACUAUUAGAUAGCUUGCCAGCUUAAAUCUGUUCCUUUUAGUUUCCAUUGUAGUAGUAUAGGAUGUAGGCCAUUUCAGAAUAGAUGUAGAGAAAUAACCAUUUUUGUAUCUCAUCUUGUUUAGCCGAGUACAUUGCACUGUAAAUCCCUGUUAAGUGGAUUCCUUUUGCCUUGGCUUGGAGGCUGUAGCACCCCAUUUCCCACUUAUCUGGGUGGCCAUCAGCUAGCUUCCUGGUAGCACCCAGGCAUAAGUGAAGAGAUGACGUUUAGUCAGAGGCAAGAAAUAAUAAAUAUAGAUAUGAAAAAUUUUGAUGAAAUGACAGUUGCUGCUACUCUGAAAAUGUGGUGUAGCAAAAAGGUCCUUGACUUAAGGGGGAGCCGUAGCCGUGGCAUCUUAAUUGUUUAAUUGUACAAUGUCAAGAGCAUCUUUGUACAUCCGCCCUGGCCCUCAGAGCUGCCCCUUUAACAGCCGGCCCCCUUCUGCUGCCUCGCUAGCCAGACCUGCUUGAAAACUGAAACAAAACAGCAGCAAUAAAGAAUAAGGCCCCUACUUCGAGGGCCCUUCCAAAAUAAAGUCCCAAGGGGCCUCCCCAGAUUGCCAUUUGGCAAUCUGAAAAGAAAGAGAAGAGAAAAAAGAAAAGAAAAGAAAAAGGAUCCCCAGCAAAAUGGUUUUCCAUUAAACAGGGAUAGCGUGUUCUGCUGUGCUGAAUUACUUCCUGUUCUUAUUUUGUGGGUAAUUUUUUCUGUAUCAAAUAUCCUUUCGGUUGUGUAUCUUUUUCACCUUUUCUUGUACUAAAACUAAAGCAUGAUCUGUAUUUUUUUACAUCCCCCAGUUGACAAUGUACAGCGCUCGGUUAGAGAUGUUACCCUGCUGAAACGUACUGUGCUCGUGUAGCCCGGGCCAUCUGCUCAUUGUACGCUGCUUUUGUUCUGUUGCCCUUCCGAAGCAUGGUGGGCCCAGCCUUUUUUUUUUUUUGUAUCGUGUGCAUGACGACAUUGUUACACACAGAAUCCACUAAU